CCCAGGUGUGUCAGUGCUGUACCUGUCCCAGGUGUACCUUACCUGCCUGUCCACGUCGGGCAGCAGCAGCAGCAGGCGCUGCUGGCACUCGGGGGGCAGCAGGCUGAAGGUGUGUUUGUUGAUCAGAGCUCAGGUGUGUCAGUGCCCAGGUGUGUCAGUGCUGUACCUGUCCCAGGUGUGUCAGUGCCCAGGUGUGUCAGUGCCCAGGUGUGUCAGUGCUGUACCUGUCCCAGGUGUGUCAGUGCCCAGGUGUGUCAGUGCCAGGUG